GAUCUUUCAACAAGACCUGAUACUGUCACUUUUAGGUCGAAAGUCAAUCUUUGGAGAACCAGUGACAACGUGUUCACAUCCGACAUUGCUCUGUGAGCUGAACCAAUCAGUUGAAUCUUGUAGAAUUCACGAAGGGCUUGCAGUGAUGUUCCUGAAGAAACCUUCAAUCCUGUCACAAAAAACAAAAUCAGGUUACUGUCAUCAUACCUGAAAUACCCAAACAAAAAAGAAAAACAAAACAAACAACAAAAGCAAUAGAACAGACCCAAACACACAUGUGCAGAGAGAGUGAGAGAGAGAGAGAGAGAGAGAGAGAGAGAGGGAGGGAGGGAGGGACCUUCAGACUUAUUUUUUUCACGGGCUAGAGGGAUCGUAUCCACAAACCUCCAAUUCUCAGGAACCUCGGUGGAGCAGCGGCUAAAUUCAUUUAUCAGGAAAGGAACAUCGAAAGAGCGAGCAUUAUGAGCAACCCAUAAUACAUACCCUCCAGGUUUCUGGCGGCUUUUGACAUACUGCAGUAAGAUUGGAAUCAGGUCUUCCAUCCUGCACGAAGUUCACAAAGUAGGAUGAGGCAAAUGACUCAAAAUUUCAGGGCCAUCUCGGGAUUAAGCUUGGCGAGCUCCGAGGCUGGGUAGUAGCUAGUUUUAUUUGCGAAGGUCUGUAAGAUGUUUCAUGGGUUUUAGUUAUGUUUAAAGUCCCCGGUUUUGUUUUAUGGUUGUUGGGACUGGGUUGACUUUGUACUGUAAUAUGGUUUGUAAUAAGGAUAUUGGGAGACUCCUAUAUAUGUUAGAAGUUUAGAACUUUGGUAUUA